CUAGUUCAUUUGUUCCUUGUUACACAGCUGAUCGCAGUGAAGCAGCUUUGGUCAACCUACUGUCGCCACAAAUUUACAUCGUCACCUGGUCGGCACAUUGAGGAGUUAUCCCCCGUGGUACAAUGCUGCUGAGUUACCUUUGCCUCAUCUUAUCUUGGAAUUACAUCCUUGUGGAGGGUUUUGCAUCCAAUCUCUUUCCACAGUCGUGUGGCAAUUUGGAUCCUACAUCAGGAAAUGGAUUCAAUUUACACACUGCUCCAGGGCAGACCACCCCUUCACCGUUCACGGUCAGUGUCUCCCAAACCACCUACGAGCCAGGACAAACCAUAACUGUGACCCUAGAGGGAACUGGACAAUUCAUUGGGUUUUUACUUGAAGCCCAUGAAGAAGGAGAGAAUGCUGCUGUGGGA